GACGAACGCUGGCGGCGUGCCUAACACAUGCAAGUCGAGCGGGGUUGAGGCGAGAGGUAACUCGAGCUUCUACCUAGCGGCGGACGGGUGAGUAACGCGUGGGCAACCUGCCUCAAGGUUUGGGAUAACAGCCCGAAAGGGCUGCUAAUACCGGAUAUGCCUAUGGCCUCGCAUGGGGCUAUGAGCAAAGGGGAAACCCGCCUUGAGAUGGGCCCGCGUCCCAUCAGCUAGUUGGUGAGGUAACAGCUCACCAAGGCGACGACGGGUAGCCGGCCUGAGAGGGUGACCGGCCACACUGGGACUGAGACACGGGCCCAGACUCCUACGGGGGGCAGCAGUGGGGGAUCUUGCACAAUGGGCGAAAGCCUGAUGCAGCGACGCCGCGUGAGCGAAGAAGGCCUUCGGGUUGUAAAGCUCUGUCUGGAGGGACGAACAAAAUGACGGUACCUCCGGAGGAAGCCACGGCUAACUACGUGCCAGCAGCCGCGGUAAUAUCACGUUACG
rnacentral:rRNA from 1 species